AGCAUGCAUGCAUGCAGUCAGGUUGGGGGGAUGUUGUCCACGGGGAUGGGGCAAAAGUCACGACCAUGUCUUGAAAGAGGACACUGCAGGGUGUGGGUGUUGCUAACAUAACAUUGCCGGUGCUGGAAGAAGCAUGGUAACCCAGCCUCCUCUUCCCUUCCUGUCCAGUUCUGGGGACACUUUCACUGGAACAGACAGAAGAGGAAUCACUUUCCUACCAGCUUAUUGACCAGGUCUCCUGGGGAGGAGCACUCGGGAUCUUUCGUUGCUGUAUGUGGACUCGAGGGUGCUUGGGUCUAGUUGCUCCGUGGCAUGUGGGAUCUUCCCAACCAGGGAUUGAACCUGCAUCCCCUGCAUUGGCAGGUGGAUUCUUAACCACUGGACCACCAGGGAAGUCCCAGCAAACCUUCAACAGGCAUAAAGGGAGGGUUGCUGUUUUCUUUGUCUCUGUCAUCCAUGUCCUGAGGGCGUGACUUUAUGCCCAGGGAGAAUACUCCGUCAAGUCUCUUGCCAGCAGGGAGAAGCAUGUACCAAUGUGCAUCUAAUGGACACAUAUGAGCUGUGGAUCCAAUCAGCCAGUUAGUCAGAUGCUCAGGAAAGAAAGGAAGGCUCGAGGAGAUGGUCACGUCCCAGGUCUCAGGCAAGUCCCUGGGAUAGCUGCCAAGUGUGGGUUCUCGGCUUUGCACAAGAAAGAAUCAAAGAGCAAGUCAUGGUAAAGCGAAGGAAGGUUCGUUGAGGGAGAUACACACUC